UCUGUGAGGCCACUUCGCCCCAACAGCAGCGCCUCGGCUCCGCGCCGUGCUCGCCCCUCAUCUUCAGAGUGUUGAGUGGUGUUGCAGCACCAACGGAUCUUGCAGGACGGUGCACGGUUGUAGGAACAAUCCACCUUGCCCUGUUCUACGAUUCGAUCCCGGAGUGUCGCCCGCCGGUUGAGGCGUCCUAGAUGUGAUGGUCUGAAUGUAUUUUGGGUGGCGGUGAGGAAAAGGUCAGGACCACCAUGGCCGGUUCAGGGCCUCGUCAACAUCUCCGUCCAAAAGGGUCUGCAUAUGUUUUGGGUGGCGUCGAGGAAUAGGUCGGUCACCCUCAUGAUGGCCGCCUCUGUUCAGGACCUUGUAAAAAUUGGCGUCCAUACGCAGGAUAGACCUCCGUGGCUGCUCGCACCGUCUAUCCCACGAGUUCCGCAACGAUGUUGAGACGCCGUUGUCCUGCUUCUAAGCCCUGGUUGACAGAGACUUCCUCCAGCAGGACCGACAUCACCAUCAAGUACAGCUAGUACUUUGGUUUAAAGCAUACAUGAGGAUGCGUGAAUUUGGAGACGGUGUUGGAGGUCAACCGGGAGGAGGCACGGUGGUGAGCUGCAAGUGCCGCAACAGAGAGAGGCGCUCCGGCGGCUGCCACUUGCACUUCUCCAAGGUCUUAGCCUACAAGGUCAUGUUGCUUGCUGCCUCCGGUGGUGGUGUGGUGGCAGUGGUCCCCUCCAGGGGUUUUGUGGUGGUGGUGUUGUCCACCAGAGUUGCUGCCAGCGUCCACUACGACAUGCUACCCAUGUCUUCUUUGACUCGGACGUCUCCUACAGGCUACAGCACCAUGUCACCCCUGGAACGGUCUCUUUUUAUCUCUUGGUCAUGUUGCUGAUCUGGUGGUGGCGUGGUGGCAGUGGUGCCCUUUGGUGGUGCUAUCCACUGAAGCUGAUGCUAACAUCAACCUGACAUGCUGCCCCUGUCUUCUGUGACCCGGACGUCUCCUACAGAGCCACGUCGCCCCUUAAAGGUUUGGUCUGGUCCAGCUGAGGUUAUUACUGAUGUGUCUUGGCGUCGAGGAGUACGGCGUUGCCUGGCUGGGCAGCUGCUUGGUGCACCGCCAACAGGCACGUUCUCGUGUUGCUGCAUCGCUGGUUGCGGCCCGUGCGGUAUUGUUUGAAUGAAUUCGUGUUUUAUUCAAUGGUUGGAAAAUUGGAAUGAUUAGAAGUUGUAAUAUAAACAGUCGUAAUAAUAGUUGUUCAUAA